rnacentral:rRNA from 1 species
UUUGAUCCUGGCUCAGGAUGAACGCUGGCGGUAUGCUUAACACAUGCAAGUCGAACGGACGUUUUCGGACGAACCUACCUUUAGGACGGGGACAACAUUGGGAAACUGAUGCUAAUACCGGAUAUGCCUUUUGGGUGAAAUAUUUAUAGCCUGAAGAGGGGCUCGCGUCUGAUUAGCUAGUUGGUGGAGUAACGGUUCACCAAGGCGACGAUCAGUAGCUGGUCUGAGAGGAUGAUCAGCCACACUGGGACUGAGACACGGCCCAGACUCCUACGGGAGGCAGCAGUGGGGAAUUUUCCGCAAUGGGCGCAAGCCUGACGGAGCAAUACCGCGUGAGGGAGGAAGGCUUUUGGGUUGUAAACCUCUUUUAUCAGGGAAGAAGAACUGACGGUACCUGAUGAAUCAGCAUCGGCUAACUCCGUGCCAGCAGCCGCGGUAAUACGGAGGAUGCAAGCGUUAUCCGGAUUUAUUGGGCGUAAAGCGUCCGCAGGUGGUUAUGCAAGUCUGCUGUCAAAGCGCGAGGCUUAACUUCGUAAAGGCAGUGGAAACUGUGUGACUAGAGGAUGGUAGGGGUCGCGGGAAUUCCCAGUGUAGCGGUGAAAUGCGUAGAUAUUGGGAAGAACACCAGCGGCGAAAGCGCGCGACUGGGCCAUUACUGACACUCAUGGACGAAAGCUAGGGGAGCGAAAGGGAUUAGAUACCCCUGUAGUCCUAGCUGUAAACGAUGGAGACUAG